AAUAAAAGACUCGUUUUUGGAAAUUGAUAAAAAGAACUCAGAUUUAAUUUGAAGCUUUUCCUUGUAGAUUUUGGGACUUCAAAAGUAUUUAUAUACAAAUGUAUAGUUAAAGGUUUACAAACUAUGAUGUUAUAAACAAGGAUUUAUACCCGGGAAUCUUUAAAAUACUUAACAUAUAUGCAUGUAUGUCGGUCUGGACGGCAACGAUAGAACAAUCUUUCAGUACCAUGAGACGACUAAAGAAAUACAAUGAAAUCCAUUCGUUUAUCUGGGCUUGUUCUAUUGAACAUAUACCACGAAAAACAAAUUUCAACAGACACGGUUUUGGAUAACUGGAAAGGAAAUG
rnacentral:lncRNA from 1 species